CAUAACACCUUCUUCUUUUCUCCACAGAUAGUGGUGUCUGUGGCUCAGUGACCAGCCUCCCUGACAAUCUGGUUUGCAAUGUUGAACCUGCUGCCGUGGACCAGCUCAGCCAAGGUGACGCACUGGCCCUGGCGCAGAGGAUCAGCAAGAACUGCCUGAUAAGCCACAGGAGGUGCCCAAAGCCCGGGGAGAGCAGGACGCUCCCUUUCCAGAUUGCUGCUUUGCUGGUCAGCAAGUUUGAAGAAUUCCCUCCAGAAAUCCUGUCUUCCCUGGGCCAGGUGGCUGUUGGGCUCUCGGUGGCCCAGAUUGAGUUGGGUUUCCGCGAGGAGGACAUCUUGGCUUCCCUGCCCACCCUGAGCAAAGUUCAGGGCUGGAACACUCUGCAGGCAGCCGCUAUUUUGAGGAAGCUGUUCCACUCUGGAUACCAGAUUCAAGAUGGAAACAGCCUAGCAGCUCUUGGGAGCCUGGUGGUUGGAUUGGACCACGCCCACCUGCAAGCGCUGCCUCCCCAAACAGUCUUGGAUGCUGUUAAAGUCCCAGACUUCGCCACACAACUGGAGAACUUGUCACCCGCUCGGAAAAUUGCAUUUGU